GGAAAGAGGAAUGUCGUAUUAGCACAUAAGCAUAUUAGCAUAUUGCUACCACAUCCUUCUGUUUGGGGUGACUCAAUCUCAAAACAUUCCAGAGAUUGCUUCAAUUUUGCUUCCACAGUCAGCCAGCAUGUGGACCCUAACUGAGGAGCUGCUGAUGUGAACCAUGUGCAGGAGUGUGGACGUGAGCAGCAGCGGCAGCAGCAGCCUGAUGUGGAGCUCACCAGAGAACAGUCACAGUUUUGCAAAGUAAUAGCACACCUCAGAAAUGAUGCUUGUGAUACGGCAAAAAGCUGAAACUUAUGGAAGAACAGAAGUCGCCUCCCUUUGUUCUUCAGCUCCUUUUAGAAAGAACACAGUAUUUGGCUUUCAUUUUGUAAAGGUAUGGAGAGGCAGGUGUUUUCUUUCUGAUCGCAAUCCCCAUCUUAAUUAUUUAGAAGAAGUGGGGAAAUAUCUGGGUUUAUAUGUUUUUUUGAGCCAGAAGUUGGGGGUUAGCAGUCUCAUCUGUGGUGAUGCUUGUCUGCGUCAUA